rnacentral:rRNA from 1 species
GAGUUUGAUCUUGGCUCAGAUUGAACGCUGGCGGCAGGCCUAACACAUGCAAGUCGAGCGGAUGAAGGGAGCUUGCUCCUGGAUUCAGCGGCGGACGGGUGAGUAAUGCCUAGGAAUCUGCCUGGUAGUGGGGAUAACGUCCGGAAACGGGCGCUAAUACCGCAUACGUCCUGAGGGAGAAAGUGGGGGAUCUUCGGACCUCACGCUAUCAGAUGAGCCUAGGUCGGAUUAGCUAGUUGGUGGGGUAAAGGCCUACCAAGGCGACGAUCCGUAACUGGUCUGAGAGGAUGAUCAGUCACACUGGAACUGAGACACGGUCCAGACUCCUACGGGAGGCAGCAGUGGGGAAUAUUGGACAAUGGGCGAAAGCCUGAUCCAGCCAUGCCGCGUGUGUGAAGAAGGUCUUCGGAUUGUAAAGCACUUUAAGUUGGAGGAAGGGCGAGUAAGUUAAUACCUUGCUGUUUGACGUUACAACAGAAUAAGCACCGGCUAACUUCGUGCCAGCAG